GACCAUAUAGUGCACUUAAUGAUGUAACUGACAUUUAAUGUCACUUAUUUUUUUUAAAUUUUUAAUAAUAAAAAUAUCCUUCCCUUCGUAGAAUAAUGAAAGAAUAAUAUUCUUACUUAUUACUUUCUGAUGCUUUGUAUAACUUCUUAUAAAUAUUCAUGACAUCCUGAACAAUAUAUAUAACUUCCUAUAUUUUAGGACAUUCAGAAUAAUAUAUAUGACUACC
rnacentral:lncRNA from 1 species